GAACAGAAAUCUCUUGUAGACCAAAAGGGGAAAAGCUCACUUGAUUUUGAUAUCCAGUACAUAUACAAACCGUGAAAGCGUGGCCUAUCGAUCCUUUAACUUUACAAGUAUUAAGCUAGAGGUGUCAGAAAAGUUACCACAGGGAUAACUGGCUUGUGGCUGCCAAGCGCUCAUAGCGACGUAGCUUUUUGAUCCUUCGAUGUCGGCUCUUCCUAUCAUUGUGAAGCAGAAUUCACAACGUGUCGGAUUGUUCACCCGUUAAUAGGGAACGUGAGCUGGGUUUAGACCGUCGUGAGACAGGUUAGUUUUACCCUACUGAUGAAUUGAUGUUGCGACAGUAGUCUAACCUAGUACGAGAGGAACAGUUAGAUCAGAUACUUGGUUAAUACGGUUAGCUGAACAGCUAAUGCCGUGACGCUACCAUCUGUCGGAUUAUGACUGAAAAGCCUCUAAGUCAGAAUCCGUGCUGGAAAGCAACUUCUAGUAGUA
rnacentral:rRNA from 1 species